GCUUACUUGGUGGAAUUGGUAGACACAAUAGACUCAAAAUCUGUACCCAAUAUGGGUUUGGGUUAUCAGUUCAAGUCUGAUAGUGAGCA
rnacentral:tRNA from 1 species